GCCUUUUGUCCCCUCUACAAUUUUGGAAAAGACCAGAGUCGUAGAGCAUAUAUUUUGCUUGUGAAGGGUCCCUUGUGCAGUCUCUGGCAUUUCAUGGAGCAACAGGGGAAUCUUACUGAAACUUGGAAAGGCUAUUGUCAAUUGGUGUGAUGAAUUGACAGUCUAAGAUAGCUUCCUAUAUUCUACUGCACCUUCCCACCACCAAAAGAAUCUACUAGAAGCCUAAGAUAUGACGCAUGAGAUAGUGGGUGGGGUGAAUUGGAGAAAAUGUUAUGGCAACUUGCAUGUGUGGGAAACAGCAUCUGCUCACUUCUUUCUGGUGACUUCUUCACAUUGCAGCCCCCAUACUGCUUCCUUCUUUUUCCUGAAGGUUCCUUGAUAGAAGCUUUCAGGAAAUACAGGGUUCUGCUUUGGGGAGAAAUAAAUAGAAAAGUCCUGCUGAACAAAAGACCUGUGCUCAUGUGAAUUUUCUUGUGGACAAAAAAAAUAGGCCUUUUUUUCCAGUUUUAAAUUGAUAUGUUGCAUCUUAUUCAGAUUAAGUAUUUUAUUAAACAGUGAAGCCAAAGAAUGGAGAGGAAACUUAUCUUACGGUACACUAUUUCCAUCAUGCUCUUUGUCCUCAGGGAGUUCAUUUAUGGGAUUUGCAAGACAGAGUUUUAGUGAGAAAGUACCAAGGUGUUACACAAGGGUUUUACACAAUUCAUUCAUGUUUUGGAGGCCAUAAUGAAGACUUCAUCGCUAGUGGCAGUGAAGAUCAUAAAGUAUAUAUUUGGCACAAACGUAGUGAGCUGCCAAUUGCGGAACUGACGGGGCAUACACGUACAGUCAACUGCGUGAGCUGGAACCCACAAAUUCCAUCCAUGAUGGCCAGCGCCUCUGACGAUGGCACUGUUAGAAUAUGGGGACCAUCACCUUUUGUAGACAACCAGGAUAUUGAAGAGGAAUGCAGUAGCAUGGAUAGUUGAUGGUGAAUUUGGAGCAGACGACUUCUGUUUAACUUAAAUUUAGUCGUAUUUUAAAUGGCUUGGGAUUUGGUGCAAACAAACAUGAUUGAUAGCUGGACAGACAUGCUCAUCAUGAAAAGAACCAUUUUUUAAGCCCGACUGGGGCCAAACAUUUUACCACCUUGCUUCAUAGUAAACAGUUGAGAUGAAGCACGUCGUUAGAACGUUGUUGGACACCAUGUUGAAGUAACCCCCCAUCGGUUGUGAAGAACUGUGCUACAUUCAGGCUAACCAUUGAACUCCGUAUAUACAUUUUCCCCUUCUGCCAUUUUGUCAGGCAGACUACUGUUCUUGUUGCUCUUCUGUGUAAUGAAGUUUAAAUGCUUGUUUGGAAAACCUUUUAUUUAACAGUUUAGAAAGCUUGAUAGAAAGAGUGCUUUAGUCUGAAGAGUACAUGUUGGAUAGGAAAGUAUUUCCUUCUCUUGUUUCUCUGAGUCUAUCUGCCUUAUUUAGCUCGAGAUCUUUGCAGCUUGGUUCAUGGAUUCUAGCCUUGCCCAUUGCGCAGUAUAUCUAAAUCCAGAUGUUAAACCAGUGAAUGACAUGAAAAGCACUCUCAGUAUCACACUUGACAAAAGGUUUUGUACUUUUCACGUAGCUUGUAACCCUGUAAAUGGGUGAACAGCACAAAUUUUUUUAAGAAUAAAUUAUUUAUAGCAUUAAAAUGACUUUGAUUUGUAUACGUUUGGAAAAUAAACCAGCUUAAAAAGUGUCAUCUACAAGUUAAAGCAGUAUAAUUGGUGCUCCUCUGAGUGUUGUGUAAGACCAUUUGGCUGGCAGGAGUUUUACACAGAUUAUAUAAAGUAUUAUUUAAAAAAAAACCUUUGUUUACCAACAAAACAAUUUGAAAGCUUUCAGAAUCAUCAAUAAAACUAUUACAAUGUAAUUUCUGAAGUUAAUAAAAUGAAAAUUCCAGAUUGGCUAAAACUUGUGCAAUGAUUCUUAUUUGAAACAUAAAAACUAAAAUGGGAGUGGGAUAAUAUUUUAGCAUCAUCUUCCAAAACUAGUGGAUUGACUGUGAAUUUAAACAUGUACAUUAUACAAGUGUUCCAUAUUAUGUUCACCCCAUAAUUGUUUUCUCAGGGGAUGCUUGUCAAUUGCUUGAUGUUAGGAAUGGGUUGUUCUUAUUUUUAGUUUCUAUAUGCAAAAAUAAUAAUAAAAAAACUAGCCUGGUGUUUCCCAUUUAACUGUUCUAAAUUAAAAGAUGAAAGGGCCAUCCGUAUGUCUAACAAUGAAAUGACAGCAAUUAAUAUGGAAAAAAAAUCAAGUUCAUUUAGUACUAGCUAAAAUAGAUGGAAAGAGGUCUUUAAUUUUGAGAGGAAGGUCCCAUAUUUGGAAGAGAAUAUACAUUGCUUGUGCUUUAUGUGCUUUUAAUGCUCAGAAUCUGUGAUAAGGAAUCACAGCCAAUGUACUUCAGUGUAUUUCCUAACUCAGAUUUAGCGCAUGUUUAUCUUCAUAACAUUUGAUUUAAUCAGUUGUCUGACAAAAUUCCUUUAAAUACUGUCAAAUUAGGAAAAAGGUGGUACUCCAAUUACUUAAUGUAAUAAUUUAGUUUUUAUAACUCAAAUGGCAAAAAAUGUCUUAGAAGACCAGGUUAUGAAAGUCUUUUAAAGUAACAAAAUGCUUUCCUCUUACGUUCUCUAAUAGAUUGAACAUCUGUAUGUGGCUCAUUUUAUUUCAGUUCAUUUUAUGGAGUAAUUUUUCUUUGUUUGCUAUAGUCAAUUCAUAUAUAUUCUGUUCAUUUGACAUUAUGUUCUUUAUUUGAAAUUGUUUAAUAGUUAUUUUUGAGCUUCAGUAAUUCUUGACUAUUACAGAUACUUGCAGAUAUUCCCAUUCAGCAUCUUGAAAUACUUUACAUCUCUAUAACCAACAUGGUACUGGCACUGAACUUGCUUAACUCAAAACUAUUUUAGGAGAUUAAAGCAAAAAUCAGGAGUGACUGAACUUGAAACAGUUUGCAUAAUUAAAUUUCUUCAGGUUAUUCAAAGCAAUCUGUGGCUUGCAAGUAAAACUUCAUGCACAGACUCUAACAAACACCUUCUGAAUCUAUAGCUUUCCCUUUUUUGAAAUGUAACACUAAAGGGAAACUAAAUUAAGAGCUCUGAAGUGGGCAUAUUACUUCCUUUGAUUUUUCUUCUGAGGAAUUUCAAAAAUGCAUGUAAGCAUUUCAAGAAUGGAGCUGAAUAAGAGGCGCGUUUUGAAAGUGCCAUUUCUAAAUUUCAUUGCAUAAUAGAAGCGAUGGAGUUUUUAAGUAGCAGCUCCAGAUGUAAAGUUAACAUCUGUUGCCAGGCGCAACCUCCUGUUUCUAUGACUACAUUUUGAGACAAGAAAAUAUGUCCAACUGUCAAAUUGUCUCACAGUGUUAACACUGCUAAGACUUUUUGUGGGUGUGAAUUGGAAAGCACCUCUGCCACAUUUCAUAUAAACUAAAAUUGUAAGAAUCAUUGUAAGAACACAUGGAAGAGGCGUAUCUGCAAUAUUCUCAUUUUCGUACAGUAGAUAUUUUCUAAUCUCAGCUGUAAAUUAUAGAGCAAUCACUACUUGUCCAUGUAACAGAGAAGAUGAUCUAUGAAAACAAGUUAGCAUCUUGCCUUAGGAUUUUGACCAUCAAUUCCAAACUAGGCACACAAGCUAUAAAUUAUCUUGCCACAAUGCUUCUCAUCUUAAUCAGGUAAGUCACUUUAAAAAUAGGAGCACAAAAGAGGAAAAGAAAUUUAAUUUUUAUGUAAUCCAUAAAUAGCCUUGUAAAUGUGUAGCUAGCUUCCCUCAGUUUUGAAAUGAGGGGAGCAUAAGAAAAAAUUAAUAUGAAGUCACAGGUGGAAAACUACCCAAUUUUUUCCAAUAAUUUCAUUCUGACUUCUAAACAGGUAUUGUUGAAUGUCAUUUAACUAAUGCUAGAUAUUUAGUGCCAUGUUAACUACAAAAAUCUCCCACCCCCUUAAAAUGGUUAUAAAUUAAAAUAUUUCUCAUACCAAUUCUAUGCUGGCAAUAGAUAUAUUAGGGGAAGGAGUAACUUUUUUUUAACAGCAGAAGAAUGUCUAGUUUGUAAUUUGGGGUAGAAAGGGAAAAUGAACCAAUUUUCAGUAAGAUUUGGUGCCCUUUACCUGUACCCCAAAGCACACAAGUUGCCUCGGAUUGAUGCAUUUCAGAUAAAUUAUUAACCAUAUAUAAUUUUUUUUAAAUAAAUAACACACACACAAAUGCAUUGGCUUGUCUCCAUUUUCAGCUGCCAUAGAACAAACCACUUGUUUGACAGAUAAUUAGAAUUUUGGAAAUGCUUUCUGAACAGGGAGAACUUAAUUGAUGUGUGCAGUGUUGUCUACAAUAGCUGCUCUUGUUGCUGGAACACAAACUAGAAACUUGUUUCCUACUUGCUGGCUUCAUAUGGUUUGGAUUCAGCAAAGUGUGUAUGGUAUGAAUGUGUGUGUGUGAAACAGAAUCGGUCAUGGAACCAACUAGGUACAUGUCAUGUUUUACUGAAUAAUUUUAAGUCAUGUUGUGUGUGUGUGUCUUGUCCUCUAACGUUAACAUUUGGUUAAUACAAAUAUAUUUUUAUAAAUAUUAAGUACAGUGUGCCCCAUCUUUUAAGUGUUUCAUUGUUAAAAUAAGUGUACUAGAUUUUAUUCUUAACACUUACUGGCACAGAUGGAAAAAGCUAUUGGCUCUGAAAAUGUAUGAGGAAGAAACAUUCUCAAAGUGUGUGUACUUACAAACCAAGCUGUAGAGAUCAAGAAAAGAACUUUUACUGUUCUCAAAUUUCUAAAUUGUCAAGAUUUAUAUGGAGUUGUGGUUGAACUAGUUAACUCUUAGAGCUUUUGGUAUGUAAUGACUAUUUGCUAUGGACUGAUAUUAAAUGUUUCAAAGGAUUGCGUUAUUAAACUUUCUGGAUUUUGUUACUUUCCUCUUGAAUUAUAUUAAAUAGUUUAAAUUUCUUUUCUCU